rnacentral:rRNA from 1 species
GACGAACGCUGGCGGCGUGCUUAACACAUGCAAGUCGUACGGUAAGGCCCUUUCGGGGGUACACGAGUGGCGAACGGGUGAGUAACACGUGAGUAACCUGCCCACAACUUUGGGAUAACGCUAGGAAACUGGUGCUAAUACUGGGUAUGUGCUCCUGCUGCAUGGUGGGGGUUGGAAAGCUCCGGCGGUUGUGGAUGGACUCGCGGCCUAUCAGCUUGUUGGUGGGGUAGUGGCCUACCAAGGCGGCGACGGGUAGCCGGCCUGAGAGGGUGACCGGCCACAUUGGGACUGAGAUACGGCCCAGGCUCCUACGGGAGGCAGCAGUGGGGAAUAUUGCACAAUGGGCGCAAGCCUGAUGCAGCAACGCCGCGUGCGGGAUGACGGCCUUCGGGUUGUAAACCGCUUUCAGCAGGGACGAAGCUUUUUGUGACGGUACCUGCAGAAGAAGCACCGGCUAACUACGUG